rnacentral:rRNA from 1 species
UACGUAGGUGGCAAGCGUUUGUCCGGAAUUAUUGGGCGUAAAGCGCGCGCAGGCGGCCUCUUAAGUCUGAUGUGAAAGCCCCCGGCUCAACCGGGGAGGGCCAUUGAAACUGGGAGGCUUGAGUAUAGGAGAGAAGAGUGGAAUUCCACGUGUAGCGGUGAAAUGCGUAGAGAUGUGGAGGAACACCAGUGGCGAAGGCGACUCUUUGGCCUAUAACUACG